AACCCCAAAUUCUUACAAAAUUCCGAUAUGUUUAACCGGCGACUAGUACCGCUGAUCAUCGUGACGGCGUCGUUGUUCCUAGUGGCCAACGUCGCCAAAACCAUAGACCCCUACAAGGUUCUUGGAGUGGAGAAAAAUGCGAGUCAACGUGAAAUUCAGAAGGCCUUCCACAAGCUUUCUCUCAAAUAUCACCCUGACAAGAAUAAAGCCAAGGGAGCUCAAGCGAAGUUUGCUGAGAUAAACAAUGCAUAUGAGAUUUUAUCUGAUGAGGAGAAGAGGAAAAAUUAUGACAUGUAUGGUGAUGAAAAGGGGAAUCCUGGAUUUCAAGGUGGUUCUCCAGGAGAUCAAGGUGGAUAUACUUUCUUCACCAAUGGUGGACCAGGACAGAACCAUUUUAGCUACAGACCAAGUGAUUGGCAAAGCAUGGGCGGACAGGGAGGUUCACAGUCGUUCUCCUUUUCCUUUGGUGGCCCCAGUGGUGGUGCAAGUCCAUUCGGUUUUGGUAUGAAUGACAUGUUCUCGAACUUUUUUGGGGAUAGUUCUGGAGCUGGAGGUCAGUUUGGUGGUUUCCCUGGUGCAAGUAGGGCUCGACCUGGAUCUCAAAGUACUCCAAAGAGUAUAAGGGCCCUCAAUUCACAGCUUUAUAAAAAAGAAAUAGUUGACCAGGGAAUGACUUGGCUGUUGUUUUCUUACACAACGUCUCUGAAGGAUCAUCAGCAUGUAGAAUCUAUGAUAGAGGAUGUUGCAAGCUCACUGAAGGGUGCUAUAAAGGUUGGAAGUGUAAACUGUGACACAGAGGCAUCACUCUGCAAGGACCUUGGCAUAUAUCCACGCAGAAUGCCCAGGGUAUUUGUUUAUACGUACAAAGUGAGUGAGAAAGGUUCCUUGGUUGAGUAUGAUGGCGAUUGGGGUGUUAAACCUUUGAAAUCCUUUUGUCAAGACCAUUUGCCAAGGUUUUCAAAGAGGGUUGACUUGAACUUCUUAAAGUCUUCUUCUUCCACAGUAGAUAAAUCUCCUUCAGUCGUCCUUCUGUCCACCAAAAAAGAUACUCCUGUUAUCUGGCGUGUCCUCAGUGGACUGUAUCACAAUCGCGUCAUUUUCUAUGACAUACUGGUCCACGAUGCUUCUGAUCCCACUGUGAAGAAGCUAGGAGUUGACGCACUACCAGCUAUAGUUGGCGUGCUAUCAAAUGGGGAGAGGCAUGUCCUUAAGACAGGCAUCACCGUGAAGGAUUUGAAAUCAGCAAUUCAUGAUCUCAGUGGUUUAAUUGAAGGUUUUGAGAAGAAAAACAAGAAGACAGCAGAUCAGUCCAAGAAAGCAUCUCCUGAUUCCAGGGAAAAUCAGAUACCUCUACUGACAAAAUAUAAUUUUAAUGCCCUUUGUGGUGACAAUGUUCCAGUUUGCAUCAUCGGUGCAUUCAGAUCUUCUAAAGAAAGAAAGAAGUUGGAAUCAGUUCUGGACGCGGUUUCUCAGAAAUCAUUAUCAAGGCGACAGAACUCGGCACACGGCAGGGAUGCCAUUUCUUAUUCUCUCUUGGAUGCCACCAAGCAGCCAUCAUUCCUAAACGCCUUUGAUAAAGCAGGAUUUAGAUCCUUAGAUAAGGCCCUGGUAGCCUAUAAACCUCGGAGGGGGACUUUUGCAGUACUUGAGGCUGAAAUAACUACAGAAGAAGUAGAGAAGUUCAUUACCGCAAUCCUUAAUGGGGACAUACGAUUUACCAAAACACGACAAAGCCCCCUUUUCAAUUGAGUGAAAUGUAAGCCUGAACUUAUAGCUUUAAACUGCCUGCUUUGUACAGUUUUACAUACCCGUAGGAAAGAAAAGAAAACAAUUUUUUAGACAGAUGAUCUGGCGGUGGUAUUGAUAUCUAGUCAUCCCAUAACUUCUGAGGACUGGAGUUCGGAGGAUCUGGCUUCAACAAUUUGAGAUGAUGAUAAGUAGCUAGAACCCUGCAAUGGAUUCUUUGUUUUUUAAAAGUUAUGCCUUACUAUAGGGGCGGAUCCAUGUGUGGGCGAGCCUAGGCAGUUGGUUUAAGAGGCUGGGCAUAUUACAUGAAUUUUUUCUGGAGAAAAGCUGAUGAAGAAGGGCAGAAUUCGGCAAAGCUGAAGGUUGAAGACGACCGCACAACGGCGCCACUUUUGAAUUUUUUUCUCUGUCCAAGGCAGCUAUUUAGGCUGGGCGGAUCCAUGUGUAGGCGAGCCUAGGCAUCUACCUAGGUUGGGUUUAAGAGGCUGGGCAUAUUACAUGAAGUUUUUCUGGAGAAAAGCUGAUGAAGAAGGGUAGAAUUCGGCAAAGCUGAAGGUUGAAGACGACCGCACAGCGGCGCCACUUUUGAAUUUUUUUCUCUGUCUUUCUCCAAAAAA